GACGAACGCUGGCGGCGUGCUUAACACAUGCAAGUCGAACGAAGUGGCGAACGGGUGAGUAACGCGUAAUCAACCUGCUAUUCAGAGGGGGACAACAGUUGGAAACGACUGCUAAUAUCGCAUAGUGAAGGAGGGGAUUGGGUCGGAUUAGUUAGUUGGAGGGGUAACGGCCCACCAAGGCGAAGAGCAGUAGCCGGGCUGGGAGGAUGAACGGCCCCAUUGGGACUGGGACACGGCCCAGACUCCUACGGGGGGCAGCAGUGGGGAAUCUUCCGCAAUGGACGAAAGUCUGACGGAGCAACGCCGCGUGAGUGAUGACGGCCUUCGGGUUGUAAAGCUCUGUUAAUCGGGACGCGGUACCGGAAUAGAAAGCCACGGCUAACUACGUGCCAGCAGCCGCGGUAAUUC
rnacentral:rRNA from 1 species